UACAGAGGUCUCAAGCGUUGUUCGGAUUCAUUGGGCGUAAAGGGUGUGUAGGUGGCGCCGUAAGUCGGGUGUGAAAUUUCGGAGCUUAACUCCGAAACUGCAUUCGAUACUGCGGUGCUUGAGGACUGGAGAGGAGACUGGAAUUCAUGGUGUAGCAGUGAAAUGCGCAGAUAUCAGGAGGAACACCGAUGGCGAAGGCAGGUCUCUGGGCAUUAACUGACGCUGAGGAGCGAAAGCAUGGGGAGCGAACAGG
rnacentral:rRNA from 1 species